UGAGUAACGGCGAGCGAAAGGGAAGAGCCCAGCGCCGAAGCCCGCUCUCGAGAGGGAGCCGGGCAAUGUGGCGUUUAGGAGUGAGCGUGCCGGCGGUCGACUCUGCAGCAAGUCCCCCUGACCGGGGCUGUAACCCAGAGUGGGUGCGAGGCCCAUAGCUGCUAGGUCUCCGUCGGAUGCGAUCUCCUUGGAGUCGGGUUGCUUGGGAGUGCAGCCCUAAUCGGGUGGUAAACUCCACCUAAGGCUAAAUACGGCCGUGAGACCGAUAGCAAACAAGUACCGUGAGGGAAAGUUGCAAAGAACUUUGAAGAGAGAGUUCAAGAGUACGUGAAACUGCUCAGAGGCAAACGGGUGGGCCCUCGAAAUCCUGUGGCGGGAGGAUUCAGUUUUUCGGCGUGGACUCUGCGUUGGGGACUCAUUGGAUCCGCGGACGCGGCCCCUCCGAUGCAGAGCUUUCGCGUCGUGGAACGCAUUUGAUUCCCGUCCGAAGGACCCCGCAACCGGUUACGGAACGGCCUUAAGGGCACGCAACGGCAGUUGGCCGGUGGUUCGCCUCGUGUGGAUCGUCGGCUGUUAGCCAGUGUGUCGCACGGCUCGUGACGUGACCGUGGUGUCGCGAGGCCCAUUUGGGCUUCUUCGCCUCCUCCGCUAAGCGGAUGGCCGGACCGAUGGCAGGGGCGAGCACUCUUGCGGGCGCACGGACUGACUCCGUGGCCCAGCGGGAGAGAGCUUCCUCGUUGGCUGUCGCGUAUCGGUCGGGGGUG
rnacentral:rRNA from 1 species